AGUACCAAGUCCAGGCGGGAGGAGAAGAUGGGAGGAACCACUGCGAGGGAGAGGGGGAAUCCGUGCGGGAGGACGGACCUAUUCGUCCUAGCGAGGGGGGGGGGUAGAGAGAGAAAUUAGGCUGAUAGAGCGUAAAAAAAAACCGCGAACAGCAUAUUUUUCCCGCACUCAGCCUGCGAGACAGGCCCCUAAUUCGGCAUUUAUUGCCGCCUCGGGGCACUUGUGGUGCUACUGUAGGCGCUCGCUGCACUCUGUCCCCCCCUGCUGCUGGAGUAUGGUUGGGUCCAGGUGGUUGAGUUUGCUGAGGGAGGCUGGGAAGUUGAUUUUCAUCGGGCGUUGGUGGUAUAGUGGUUAGCAUAGCUGCCUUCCAAGCAGUUGACCCGGGUUCGAUUCCCGGCCAACGCAACUUCGCUUUUCUUCCCCAUUUUUUUUUUUUUCACAUUUGUCACAGAUUCCACGGCCAGUUCUGCACGCGGAACGCCCCACCCGGCCGCCUUUUUACCCACCCGAACCCCAGUGGUCGGCCGGCGGGACGCGGGCGCUGUCUGGUGGCGCGGCACAUGGUGUCGUUAUUUCCACCAAAGCUCUCGGCGGAGAAGCCGCGGGGCCUCGAGCCGCAGGGGGAAAUAAAUAUAAACCUAAGGAAAAGACACUAAAUCCGACGGGAAAAAAAAAUAGAACCGACGGAAAAAACAACCGAACUUCAAAAAUAGGUGUUUCCGCCCGGGAUCGAACCGGGGACCUUUCGCGUGUGAGGCGAACGUGAUAACCGCUACACUACGGAAACCCGCCAUAUGAUAGUCUUUGGAGCGGCGGGUAAUGUUGGCAUCGUCGACGCGAACCCCCGCCUCGCCUGAGGGAACAAGUGUGUCCUUCGGAGUGUUCCGCACCGCACGGCGACCUCAGCCAAACCCCUUCCGAGUGAUUAGCGUUAAUGAGCAAUUAGCGCGUCCAGAGGCCCACUCGGCUGAGGCAGCUGCCACCAGAUGUCGGUAGAAUAGUGGCAACUUCCCUGCAGAGCUGCUCAGGAGGAUCCAGCGCAGGAGCUGGAACAGGACCGGCUGUUUUCUGAGCAGCAGGACAGGCCCUUGGCAGCCUCUCUUCUCUGAGGCCAAGUUUUCCCUCCCUGCAAAUGAAACUUCAAUGCACAGUGAGCUGGACUCCGUUCUCAUCAGCGAUGUCUCUCCAAGGCAGUGGGAGUUGAGCAAGAGGAUGGGACAGCGCAGGGUGACAUGAUGCCAGUAUCACACUGCUACCUCUUCCAGCCUGCUGAUCAGUGGAGGAAGAAGAGCUGCAGCCCCGGCGAGGAUGCUCUUGGCAGGUUCUGAUCCUGAAGUCCAGCACCAGGGACUGCAGAGGAUGUCGUGCAUCCGUGCACUCACGCAUGUUUUCCAGAGCCCUUGUCCCCAGAAGUCAGGCUGGUGAGGUCCUGCUCUCUCGGGCUGCCAGGUUAGGCAGUCAGUGCUCUAAUGCUGCUUGGCGAGCAGAGGGCACGGAGCUCCACUUUAUCCCUUCCCCUGAGGGUUUCCAUCCACAGAGGCUCCGGCGCAGGAUGCUGCCUGUGUCAGCUCCGCAGUAAUCAGCCCAGAGGCAGAAAGUGGAAACUUUCUGCUUGCAGCCACUUAGUUUCAUUAGAAGCAUCGCAAGAGAAAACAGACCUCGAGUGGGGCAGCGAGAGACAGAGACAUGCGGGAGGUGGGGGAGAGGGGGCUUGUUUUAUGUGUCGGUUAGCGGGUAAGCUUCAGCUAAGGACUGGAGAAGAGCUCGAAAGUGUUAAGGUUCAGCCUGAAGCUAGAGCCUGUCACUGUCAAAUUGCUGUCAGGAGAUUGCACAGCUCUGUAAAACCUGCUCUAACUGUGUUUCACAAGACCAGAACUAAAUUUGAGCAGCAGUCCCAUCCUGCCACCCUAAGGCUUCCUCCCUGCCUCACAUCCCGUCUGGAAGAAUUUUGUCUGAAUUUCUUUUUAAAAAAUCUUUGUGCACUGAAGUAGAAAUAGAAGGCAAAGCUUGGAGUGGGGUUGUUAAAUACUGCAAUAGCUCCUGGAUCCUGCUGCUGUUUCCUCUCGCCUCUGUGUUUCUCUUUGUUCUGUAGGGAACUGGAGAUCUAGGGCCAGGCAGCAGCAGCUUUUUCAAUAAAUAAGGCAGGAAAAAGUGACCAAGAGGUCCCAGAAGAACAGAUCCCAGAUUCCUGAAGUCCCACUCACUGCAAAGGGUUGUCUCUUAUUUGUGCUCCCUGCCUACUUUGUGGACACAGAUGUUCUAUUAUUCCCACGUGGACGAGCGGUUGUUUUUAUGUCGGUGAGCCACGCAUCUUCUGCUUAGAAAGGUUUGUUUGUUAGCUUUGGAGAUUUCAACAGAAAUAAUCAUGUUUGGAGCACCAUUCUCCAGUGAGCUCGGCCCCAGGAUGAAUCGGGGCUUGGCCAGGGAGCGCAGGCAGCCAGGAGAUGGAGCAGCUUGCCUCCUCAGCAUGGUGCAAGCCAGGGACUAGAGAGAGAAAGCCCGAGCCCUUAGCAGGGCUCUUCUCUUUGAUGAAGCAGAUGUGACUGCUUUUUUAUGCCACAACCGCUCUGCGUUUGCAAAGAAGCAAAAAGGCUCGCAGAUUUGUGUCUCGGGGCUGGGACACGGGGCCUUUCAUUUUCUUCAAGGGCACUUGAGGAAGAUCUCUUUGUACCUGUUUGGAAUUAAUUCUGCCAGUCCCCGAUCUGAUCACACUCUCCCCAUAUUGGAGUUCAAGAGAUGCCUUCCAUUUUCUUUCUUCUCUCCGGGACAAUUGAUAUCCUGGGACGGAGCUGCAUGAACAACCAGGACUUGAUUCUAGUGGAGGCUACACAUGCUCAGAGCCUCCAAGAAUCGGAUUCUGCAAACCUCACUGCUGCAGCAGCUGCUGCUGACACAUUUGUCCCAUUCCCUGACGCACGUCCCUGUCCCCCAAGCCCCAGGGCCCCCUCUGUGCCCCAUCAGCAGAAAGUGCUGUUCUGUUUGGGGCUACCUCGGAGCUGCUGGCACAACAAAGCUGUUUUGUUUUUGGCUGAGCGCUCAGCAUCUGAGCUCUCAUGUGGUUGGAGCCCAUUUUUUUUGUUGCAAGAAUGAAAACAGUGGAUUAAUGAGCUGCUUGUGGCUAAUGUGCAGGGUUUCUCAGAACUGGUGCUAUUAGAGCCCAGCGUCAUGUAGGAGGUAAAUGGCAGCACAUGGUGAAUAAAGCAGUGAUAUAAUAGGUUUAAGUAGUCCAUUUCCCUUUGGAGUGUUACUGAUAACAUGCCCAAAUGCAUACGAGACCAUUACUUUAAUGAAUAAGACCGCUCUCUGGCAGAGCACGCACUGCAGCUCCUCACAAGGGGUUUAUUUUUCAUCAUUUUCAUCAAAAAAAAGGCUUGGGUCUUAGAGCUGGAGUGGGGAGUGGGGAGGGCAGGACAGAGACAGGGGAAAAGAGAAGGACAGAAGAGAAGAAAUGUGAAUGAGACUAAAAAGGGAAGAGAAAUGACGAAGGGACAUGAAUAAAUGCAGAAGAGGCAUGAUGUGGUUUGCACCAAAAUGGUCUCCAGGAACCGCAAUAAGAGGAACCGGUACAUUGACACCCAGAGGACAAGGACUGGACAUUUGGUCCUGUCUGUUGGAAGGGACACAUCUUUCUUUGGAAGCAUCAUUGUCCACAGCCAAAGUGACAUACUACAAAACAUACAGACAGCAGUGGGCCGGGGCUCAGUCUCUUUUAGGUAAUCAAUGACCUCUGGAAGUCCCAAUCAGUUCAGAAUUAGCAUCACUUUGUGGUAGGUAAUUCUACCCACAUCAGUGGAGUUUCUCAGGAUUUAGCGUCUCUAAUCAGCACUGUGAAAUCCCAGUGCUCACUAAUUGCCAGACUAAUUCUGAGCUAGUUAAGCAUCUGUCAGCUUGUUGAAGAUACUCCACACUGACACCACUGCAUGUGAGAGCAGAAUUUCCCUCCACAUCUUUCCUCAUAGGCAGCUGACUUUUCUCUGGGGAUGGGCAUGUAGAGCAUCAUUCCCUGAAAAACCUCUUCGAAGCACAAUGAUCAUGUGGUUUCUGAAGCCACUUCUAACUGGUGUGGUGGGAUCUGAAUUGGGCUGCCUUGUUACACACUAGUACGUACUCUUGUGCCAACUAAAGCCUUGUUUUGGCCACCUUUUUCCAGAAUCUCUCUAUGGAGGAGACACUGUUCAAAUCCAGCAUCAAAUGACCCUAAAUUAACUGUUUGGAAUUCACCAGAUGAGGUGAGUUCCACAGAGGUGUAAUUCUUUUAGGGUCUAGUGGCAACAGCAUCUAAUUUUUAGCAGAAUAAAUGAGAUGAGAAUCACUAAGGAUCAAGGUUCCUAAAUGAUGGGUUAUUUUUUCCCUCUGAAAGCCUAAAUCAGUGAUUCACAGGGUGUUUAGGGAUAUAAACAUGGUCUGAGUGAUCCACAGCAGACCUGGCCCUGGCAGGAAGGAGAGGAAGCAGCUUAGGACAGCGUACAAGGGUAGGACAUAUAAAGAAUAAAGCUUCUCCUACCUGUAUUUUUGUAGCUUCCAGCGAUCUGUGAGAACUGCCUGGAUGGUGCAUCCAGACUAUUAAGUUUAAUCGCCACUGAUAGACCAAACCUCCAUAAACUUGUCUAAAACCUUUUGAACCUGUUUAUGCUCCCAGUCUACACAAUAACCUGUGGCAAACGAGCUCCAAAAUGUAAUUAUGUGCUGUGUGAAAAAGCGCUUCUUUCUGUUUGUUUUAAACUUGACUGGUGAUUUCACUGGGGCACCAACUUCUCGUAUUGUGAGAAACAGCAUCUCAAAUAUCUAAGGGACAUAGAAUCCCAGAUUUUAUGGAAAGAUCAUGGGAUUUUGACUUGUAAGUGUUAAAACCACUUCUGAAAAUUGAACACAGGUUCUACUUGUUAUGCUUAUGAAAAUACUGCCUCCCGUGCUCGUUUGCUCUUCAGCUUGUGUUUAUUUAUUUCAUUUUUGUCCUUUAACCUCUCCUUACGAGCCACUCUAGCCCCUGACAGAUCCAGUUCUCAAGCUUCUUGUUUACUCAGUUAGCAUGGGCUUUGUUUUUACAGUACUCUCCUUUGAACUGCUUCAGCAGCUGAGAGUCUGCUGCUGGAAACACGAACGCAAACUCCACCAAGGACAGGCCAGUUUGUCUGAACGACCUCUUUCUCAUUAUAUUUGCGAUGGUCGCAAUGUCACAAGUUCAAGUACAUGCACAUGGGGUUUAAUACAACGCGGAGAUAAAGGCAGGGAGAUAGACUUGCACGCUCUCCCCCGAGACGUGAAUAUACUCUGCCACUAUUUGAUUGUGCCUUUUGCAGACACCUCAUUAAAAGUGUGUUCAUUACACAUAAACAUGUCCUUGUACUUGCGCAGGCGUGCGUGCUCACACACCGGGUUUGAACACAGUGAGGGAUAGCUCAUCCUCACACAAAUAUUAAUAUCUCUGAUUCCUCACAGCUUGGACAGAGAGCUUGGCUCUAACAAGCCAUUGUUCAUUUGUCGCCUUUUCUGCCCUCCAUGGCAUUGGAUCUUCCUGGUUGCAUUGUUAACUUACUCUGUCUUAUAUGCAGUUUUGAACAUGCCCCCUCUUGCCUUUAGUCCAAAUAAUAUUUCUUCUGAGUCUGAUACACCUCCUGUAUCAACUGCUGGUACCAACAGUUCUGAUGUGGUGUAGAACUGAGUUAAGAGGCAGAGGAACCAGACCCUUUGAAUCUUUCUCUUCCCAUCAUGUCAAUCCAGUCUGCUGCAUGAAGCUAUUCGUAUCUUAUAUUCUUGCGGGCACAUGCUCUAGUCUGGAAGAUUAGAUAAAAGUGGAUAAGCAUCUCCUGAAAGCAGUUUGAUGCACAGAGUUAGCAAGGAUGCGUUACCUUCCUCAGAAAAAGGAGGAAGAUUUUGGAAGGCAAGGGGUGUGAGGAGACUGAGCAUGUCUGAGACAUGUUCCCUCGAGUUUUCACGUCCUUCAGCUAUGCAAACCAUUGCGUCAGUGAAGAUAAAUCAGUGUGGCUCUACAAAAACCAGCUGAAUGAAGCUGACUUUCUGCUGCCAAGGAUCAGGUGUAUGUGAGAUGUGAAUGGAAGGUCUCCUGGCACAGCACUAGCAACCUCUGGAGCCUUGUUGUGGCUAAUGCUCACCCCAUGACUAACGAAUGAGCAGCAUUAACAGGCUUGGGAAGUUACUGUUCGAGCACGCGGUGCAGAGCUACACACCUUCCCUAUCUCCCUCCAUCAUAGUGAAAGCAAAAAGAGGAAAGACAGGCUGUUGUGAGACUGCUUGGUAUAUUUGGAAGGCUGGUAUUACAGAACAGUGCCACUUGCCAAGUCAACUGCAUUUGCUAGUUCAAAGGCUUUAUUUUUACUGCCAAGAUCUGCUGGCCUGUGUACAUGUGUAUCGCACCCGUUAGGUGUGUGAGACGCCGCAGAGACAACCCCUACAGGGAAGGGGAGAAGGGAUGUGGGGUGCACGCUAGCAGAAAUCCACGUCAGAGGUAUCGGGGUGUGCUGGUGGACACUGAAUGUAUAGUACAUUUACAGAUGCCCAGCAAGCGAUCCUGAGGUGUGCAUCACGUGGGGAGUAAAAGUGCCGGUGUGUGUGCACACGCAUAAGGGUGUCUCCAUCUGUGUGCAAACAAGCAGGAACAUCUACAAACAAGUGUACUGCACAGAGGGAGCAGGUAGCACGGAGUGGGUGCAUGUGUAAGGACGUGUGUCUAGAGGGGAGGUGUGAGGAGACGCUGUGUCUGUGGAAGUCUGUGUGUAGGCAGCAAGUCUGCUUGUGUGUGCAGGGAGAGGGAUUUGGGGGAAGGAGAUGAGAUUGGUCUAUGUGGGAGCUCAGCACCAGUCCACACAGGUAGGCUGGAUCAGUGCGUGCAGUGAUGGAGAGCUCUCAAGGUGGCUGGAUCCCUGUCUGUAAAGGUCUCUGUGAUAUAGAUUUUAAACACACCUCGGAGAAGGGUCUCAAAUGUGCGCUAGAGCUCCUCCGUGAAAAGAGGAGAACACAGGGGGGCUGGGAGCGCGUCUCUGUUAGCACGUAGCUGUUGUUUUGUUUGUGAUGCGUCUUCGGUUUGAUGGGGCGUAUGUAGGAUGGUGCAUGAGCGAUGGGUGCGUGGGCUGGGAUAGGUGUGCAGCGCUGGCUGUGUGCGUAAGGGAGGGGACGGCGGGGAGGGCUGAGCAGAGGCAGCCCUGGGGCUCGGGGAUUCUGAGCGCUUUGUCCUGCUGCCUAGCAUCACUAAAUUCAGAACAGGUGCUUUCUAUUUUGGGCGUUUCUCCCUCCACGCACCUUUGCUCCCCAUCUUCCGCCCGGCUGGGCGUCAGGCCCUCCGAACCGCGGCUCUCCCGCACUUGUUGAGGAGCAUCGGCAGGAGAAGGAGCGGUUCCCUUGGAAACCUCUGGAUGCCCAGCAACAAGUCGCUGGCAGCUGCCAUGUGACCAGGUGCAUUAAUCAGACAUGUUGUAUGAAUCAGGUCAGUCGGGGCCAAAGUCCAGCUCGCUCCCCCUUCGCUUCGUUGCUAAUUACCGAGCUGCGAAGGCUGCUCUGGCUAGGGGGUGGAAAACAACUUGAAAUAAUUAAAUAAAACAGUGACCUUCCCUGUUGCGGCUUCUAAGUUCAUCCCAGACUUUCUCCACAGAAAAAUCUAUGCAAUCCACUCUUCCACUUAAAUGAACCUAGAAUGCAAAUGAGUGAAGCGGGGGAGUCUCGCAAAGAGGGAAAGCCAGAGAGAAUGGAUCUGCCACAGACGCAGUGAGUUUCUAGGUCUCUUCUCACAACAAACCCUACAUUUCAAAAGCAGCUUUUGAAUGAGUAGCUCAGGCUUGAGACUGGUUGAGCUUGACAGAGACACCUCAAAUUCACAACUCAGAUCCCUUUGCAAAUGAAAUUUCUGAAGUCUCAAGUGAAAUUGCUGGCCAAAAUUACUGGUUAGAUGGCACGGAGAGGACUUGAAUCCAAAGUUCUACCCAAUACCUCUAAAAGAAGAGGUUGCAGCUCUCAGGAGAACAGGCAGUGCCUGUACACUUCUGAUCCCUUGUGAACAACUGCAAAAUGGCUGUUCUUUGUAGAUAUGCAGCUGAAGAGCUUAUUCAUCCUUCCCCAUGGCCUGUUUCGUUAACCUCGGUGGGGCCUUUCUCCAUCUGACUCAAGAGCAGAGGGCUCAAAGGCCAAAGCUGGAGGAAUAUCCAAGUUGAUUUUGUAGCUGCAGCUCUGGACCAGGGGACAGCAGCAGUUACCAUGUUAAGACUGAACUGAGCACAAAUUGGGAGAGUCCUGGUGAGCAAAUGAGGUAAAGGGAAAACUAAGGAUGAAGAGAUCCAGCUGGGGCAAUAACAGCUGUAAGCACUGGCCUCAGUCCCUUACUCUGGGUUCCUUUCUAGUAAGAUCUUCUGAGGGAAUUAGGUACCCAAGCCUUCCUGUCCUUCCAGUGUAUGUUCUGGAGGGACUUGGGCACCCCUCAGCAUCUUCCAUAAGAAAUUACAGUUUCAGCUUCUGUCCUUUUCACAUUUUCCCCAAAUUCCUGCUUUGUCUGGAUAAAUCCAGAGCCAAGGCUUCCAGAUUUGUCUCCUGAAUGGAAAUCUCUCACAGACACACAUUCAAGGCCAGGCUCUAGCAAGGCUGUAACUUCUUUUACCCGUACACCAGUCUACGUUCUGCGUGCUGUGACUAAUGCAUUGCAAGGUCAUUGGAUACCGCUCAAUCUCCAUCUCCUCCUUCGAGAGAUCAGUGCUUGAGCAUCCCAGGGUAUUCACCAAUUUAUGUCAAACACAGGUACAUUCUGCUGAAAACCACCUUUUAUCUUAGGCAACAACAAAAAUGUCGCAGUGGCCGGUGAGAUUUUCAGCUGAUGUAAGCGAGCCACGGGAUUUGGCCCAUAAUCCACAAUAGUGCUGAAGACCAGGAAAAGGAAAAAAAGGAGUUGGAAACAGAGCACCUGGCUUCAUUGUAAUCACACUGCAAUUUGAAUAGCAUCCAGUGCCACUUCAAAAUGGGCUCUUUUCAUGUCAUCUGCUGCUAGAUCCAGACCUUAAGAGCCCAAUAUUUACCCGCAGGAGAUCCGUUCACAGCAGGCAGCAGUUUCCCCAAAUCAGAACUGAACACGGAUCUCAAGUAUUACCUAGACAAAGCCUUCAACUUUGAAGCAUUUUGAUUUGUAUCUAAUUAAUCUUCCAAGCAAUUGUUAUUUUUCCUUUGGUGUCAUGUGAUAAUAUUUCCCGUGCACAGGAUAUGCCAGAAGACAAAGCUUUACCUCAACGUACUGACCACCUAGGACAAUCGAGGGCAGUCUUGAAGAAUUGAUGUCUGCAGCUUGUGUAUUUGCAAUCUAAGAGGCGCAAGACAAAUCCAUCCCAGAUGACACCCUCCAGUCAAAAUCAGAAACAUAUGCUUGUUCCUGGAUGUGAGGGUUAGGAAAUAAAUCUGUUUUCACUGGCAAGUGAUGUGUUCCUUGGCACACUCGAGGGAAUAACUGUCUGACCUUCUUGCUGUAGCAAUAUGAGAGAACCAAAUGGAUUCUAGAUACUCAGAUCUGGUCUGCAACUCAGCUCAGUGUCUCUGGGAAGAAAUGGAGGGCUGGGGUUUUGUGUAAGCUCCAAAACCAGGAUGAUAAAGGCUGAGAAUUUAGGAUGAAACUUGGCUUGUCCAUUGAGCUGGGAAAUCAGGGGGUAUGAGCAACACAGGCUGAGAGACGGUCUGGUAGGAUGGAAGGAACAGGCUGUUUAGGGUUUUGAUCUGGGAGACGCUGAACAUCUUACCUCCACAAAGCAAAACAUGCAGGUCCUAAGAGUGAAGCACAGGAAGAAUCUUGCUGGCUCUUUGGCAGCCUGCGCACAGGCAGAGCGUGUGUCCCUCGUGCGGACAGUCCCUUCACCCACCGCCCUCUCUCCAAGGGCUCCAGCCAUCGCUACCCCCAUGGACAGACCUGUUGCUCUCUGCCAUCGCUCCCCGACCCGCCUUUACGUGAGGAGGAGACUUUUACACUGAAGCGCAGGCAGCUCUCCAUGAUGUAAUCUGUGCAAUCUCUGCAUUCGCAAGGAAAAGCAGCCGCCCGUUGGCCAAAGCCACGAGUCCCCGCCUGGGUGCUCCUCCCGCCGCCCCCCCGGUGGCUCAUAAAAGCCCCGAGGCAGAGGCAGGGCAGCUUUCCCAGCCCCUCUGCUCGCAAAGGUGACCCGGGGACAGCGUUCUCAGCGACGCUGAUGAAGGUGUGUUGGCAACAGAGGAACAUGCAGAUUUCACAUCGCCUGACCCGGUGCAACACAGGUACCAUGAGAAGCCCAGAGCCAGGAGCAGAUGGGACUGUGCAGCGGCAUAUUGUCACCUGGAAAUAAACACACAUACACACGCAAACCGUGCUGAAGACAGAAAUCAACUGACGUGUUCGCUGUGGAGGAAUCCCCAGGGGUGCCAGCAGGAUGCAUUCACAGCGCUGCGAUGGGAAGAGCACGGAGCCAAAAAACAAGAAGUGAGCACAUCCCUUUGUGUCGGCUUCGUCGCCACAGCGCAAACCCUAGAGCAUCUGGGAGGAGUAAACCAGGGAUGUUUCCAGAUUUCGGCAGAUGCGUCUGAGAGCAGCCUGGGCAGAAACUGAAGGAAAUGGAAGCAAACCGGAGAGGCACGAGGCCGUGGGACCGGGUUUGAGGAUGGGAAGGCCGCCGGCUCUUGUUUAAUAUCGGAGGCUGAGGUAAGCAAGCCUGGCUGAGACAACGGCGGCCGAACGGAAUACAGCGAGAUCCUUCCCGUGGAUGUGAGCCAGCAUUGUCCUGUCACACCUUAUUUGUGCCAUAUGCGAGGUAUUAACAGAAAGAAGCCGGGUUGUGGACGCAAAGCUAAACCUGGGGUGAAAUAAAGACCGCUCGUCAACAAAUUCAGAGGAAAGGAAACAGCAAAAAGGUUUUGUUUUUCUUGCUUAAAUCAGUCUCUCAGCAGGAUUCCAGGAAACCCGGCACUAUCAUUAUCAUUUGCUUUGCUAACUGAUGCCUUUUCUCUAGCGUUCUGGAGUAUAUAUUGCAUUUGCUUAUUUUAGUCAGACCAAAAUACAGCAGAGGGAUAGACAGGUUGACAGAGCACUCCUGGAGAAGUUUAUCACAGGGUAAGGAAAAAGGAGACCCUGCUGAGCUCUGAUAUCCCUGAAAAAAACAUUAUCCGAUUUUUUAUAGGCAUAUAUAGUCUCCUGAGUGAGUAAAUGGAGCAGAAACUCAAAGGUGCAGUCACAAGAUCGGACAGACUAUAAUAGUGAGAUUUGACAGUCUCACAAAGAAUACUGUGGGUUUGUUUCUUGGGUUUUUGUUGCUUUUUUUCACUGCGAAUGGCCGCAUCCAUCCCUGAAAUGAGAAACAAGCGUGGAAAGAAUGAGAAGAACUGAGGAAGGCUGGCAGAAGGAUGUCGCUGAGGAGGAAGCGCGGCUCUCGGUGG